UACGUAGGGUGCAAGCGUUAAUCGGAAUUACUGGGCGUAAAGCGUGCGCAGGCGGCUAUGCAAGACAGAUGUGAAAUCCCCAGGCUCAACCUGGGAACUGCAUCCGAUACUGGAUGGCUUGAAUCCGGGAGAGGGAUGCAGAAUUCCAGGUGUAGCGGUGAAAUGCGUAGAUAUCUGGAGGAAUACCGGUGGCGAAGGCGGCAUCCUGGACCAGCACUGACACUGAGGCACGAAAGCGUGGGGAGCAAACAGG
rnacentral:rRNA from 1 species